rnacentral:rRNA from 1 species
UUGCUCCCUGAGAUCAGCGGCGGACGGGUGAGUAACACGUGGGUAACCUGCCUGUAAGACUGGGAUAACUCCGGGAAACCGGGGCUAAUACCGGAUAACACCUACCCCCGCAUGGGGGAAGGUUGAAAGGUGGCUUCGGCUAUCACUUACAGAUGGACCCGCGGCGCAUUAGCUAGUUGGUGAGGUAAUGGCUCACCAAGGCGACGAUGCGUAGCCGACCUGAGAGGGUGAUCGGCCACACUGGGACUGAGACACGGCCCAGACUCCUACGGGAGGCAGCAGUAGGGAAUCUUC